rnacentral:pre_miRNA from 1 species
AGGGUGAAUGAACCAUGCUGGAGAAGCAGGGCACAUGCUAGAUAUAUCAGCAUCAUGAAUAUCGAUCUGAGAAUUUCGCAUGUGCUCUAGCUCUCCACCUUGGACUCUCUCCCU